UACGUAGGGUGCGAGCGUUAAUCGGAAUACUGGGCGUAAAGCGUGCGCAGGCGGUUUUGUAAGCCAGAUGUGAAAUCCCCGGGCUUAACCUGGGAAUGGCAUUUGGGACUGCAAGGCUGGAGUGCGGCAGAGGAGACUGGAAUUCCUGGUGUAGCAGUGAAAUGCGUAGAUAUCAGGAGGAAUACCGAUGGCGAAGGCAGGUCUCUGGGCUGACACUGACUCA
rnacentral:rRNA from 1 species